GCAACUGAAAAGAAAUGUAUAAGAUUGGCAAAAACUCACGAAAAAGGGUUAAAGCUGUUUAAUAGAUCAAAAAGUACACACACUGUAACGAUUCACGCGUUUUUGCCACCUGGCACUUUUAAGGAACAGUUGUGUUUUUGAAGUUACCGGGGGAGGGGGGAUUAUCGCUUUUUGGAUGUGUCAAUCUGCCGUUAACUGCGAGCCUUACUUUGUCUACUGCGAGUAUGCAUGGGCAGGGGUAAAUGAUUUUUAGAACAUUUAAAAUGUAAAAAAUAACAGUUUUCAUGCACAUAUUUGAGAUUCUCAGUUAAUAACAAUAAAAAAAUAUAGAUGUUUUAUUUAGCCCUAUUAGAGUCAAUUAGAUUUGGGAGCAAUUUGUUUCAAAGUUAUAUUCAUUCACGGUUACUAUUUCAAUAUAAAUAUAAUAUUAUGAGUUACUUAUCACUAUGUAACGAGGUACGAUUUUUAAACUCGUUUUUGCGGGCUUGCGUAUUAUAUGAUUGCAAGAAAUCAAAUUUUAAAAUAAUUUCCAGUUUUCUAAAUAAAUCGAAUAUUAAAAUAAUAUAUUUAUACCUGCUCCUCCGGAGUAAGAAGUCACUGGAAUUCCCUGGAAAAGAAUAAUGCUAAUUAAAUGAGUUGUUGACAGACCACCAAGUGAUUCACAAAGGAACAAUAUAACACUUAAAAAGGGAGUGGGAAAUACCCUAGUAUAUCUUCAAUUAAAAGUGUUUGGUAGUGACAGCACAAAACUAGAAAAUCGUCACUACUUUUUUCAAUAUAUAUGAACAGUCAGUAAAAGAGAUUACUCUACAUACAAAUUACCUGUAAAGAAACAGGUCCUCUUCUACAGCAAACACAACAGCUCAAAGCAAGAGAGGCAUAGAUUGCAGCCAUACUGAAUAGCGUCAUGAGAGCCAUGUAAAAUAGAAGAAAGACAACACCUAUUCCAACGUAAUCUCCUUCUGACAGAAUGAUGCAUGCAACAACAAAUCCGUAAAAACCGGCAAUGGUGGAAAGAAUCGACAGAACAAGAUUUACAGCAGCCUGGAGUAUACAUAGAGAGAAACUUCAGAAGGUUUCGAACAUUAAUUCCAAAUUUGAUGUCAAAGACCACUUUUACAAUGUAUAAAUAAUAAUAGUUCAUUUCGCCAAAUGCACGGACUAAUGCCAAAUGUAAUUUUUGUUAUUUAUGCUUUUUUUUCAGAAUGAAAUGAAUACUUACUAGCCAUUUAGUUGGUCUAAUAGCCAUAGUUAUCAAAAAAGCUCCAGAGACAAUAGGCUGAAACAGUAAAUAAUAUAUAAGUUAUAUUUUGACUUAUUCAAAUUAAGUGUUCGUUUUACAUUUUUCACUCCGAGUAAAGGUUUUGUUUGAUAAACUAUAUUCACACGUCGGGUGGCUUUACUUAGCUACGUUUAAUUGUAAUGCUAACAUAGUUGGGCUCGUGAUGUGGUUCCGGAGUUUGAAAGGUUUACUGGAAGUUACAGUAGUCGAAAUUCUUUGUUCGACGAAGUCGUAAUUUAAAAAUUUUAAGAUUGGGAUAAGAAGCCAGAUUUUUUAUAUGUCGUGUCGGAGUCGAUUGGGAAUUUUCUCCCUGAUUCACAGCCCUGGUUUGAGCUAAAGUGCUAUUCACCACAAUGUCAUCCCUCAUGACGUUAUUCCAUUUGUUAAGUAAUUCGCAGUACAAUGCCCAACAAAAUAGAUUGUCUUGGUAAAAUUCGAA